rnacentral:tRNA from 1 species
GCGGAAGUAACUCAAUGGUAGAGUACCUGCCUUCCAAGCAGGCUGUUGCGAGUUCGAGCCUCGUCUUCCGCUCCA